AAGCCCAGCCCUGCCACCGGCCUCCCGGGUGACCUCGGGCAAGUCCGUGAUGCAGCGGGGCCCGGCGGACGGAUCGCGGGCCUGGGAGUCAGAAGGACCUGGGUUCUAUCUCCCCCGGCGCUUAGAACAGCGUCUGGCACAUCGUAAGUGCUUAACAGAUAACCAUUUUUUUAAAAAGGAGCUUUAAAAGGAGCACGUGCUUCCAGGUGUUCGAAUUUGGCAAGUUUUAAGCCUCCAGAAAAGAGGCUCAGACAGGGCCCGGUGGGUCCCAGGCACGGUUCCCAGGAUGCUUUAUCUCAGCUGCAGCUCGGGUUUCCUUUCUCGGGGGCGUCAGGGUGGAGUUGGAAAAAUGGCUUUUUUUCCCUCUCCCCUCCUGCAAAUCCUGUUUAAGACACAGGGAGGAUUUCAAAGCUGAAUAGAAAGGACAGUUCCCGGGAAAGGCGUUUUCCUUUUUCCCUUUUCCUUUUUUCUCCCCUUUGGUAUAAACAAGCAAUGGGAGGGGUCUGGUCAUCUGUGGGGUGGGGGGUGGGGGCCCGCAGCCUGUCGGACGCGCCCCACCUCCUCCCAGAUAAAUGAGGAACAAAGCCUGGCCCACGGAGACCAUUCCCGGCAUGGCAGCCAACUGCGGGCCGUCCAGAUCCCUGCCAUGUUGAACCCUCUAGCUAACGGAACCCAUUUCUGUUCCAACGGUGCCGGGAAGCGAGUCCCAAAGAAGAGACGAUCCAAAGAUCGAAGAUUCUCCUGAAGUCAGUUUAUGGAAAAACAGCCAUUACUGUGGGGUUUCUGUGAAUGACACAAAAUAGGGGAGGGGGCCUGCAGAUUGGGGUGCUGCUGAUCAGCCUCCGUAGUCCCCGUUUUGAAGUCCUCCUCCGUCUAAUUCCGGGAUUUUGCGUGGAGUGUGUGCAGAGAAGCUGUUUUCUUGAAACUGUGCUAUGGGAAUUCUGUGUUUUGCUUGGAAGCCUUCAGGGAUAUCGCCCCGCCUCUCAUUCCUGUUCAUUCUUCCCUUUUCGCCUCUCCACCUUUUCCUCCCGCUCCCCGAGAAACUGAAAUACGCUGCUUCCCUUUAUGCCUCCACCUUUUCCCCCCCAACCCCUGGGAAUCUGGAAUAUGCUUGCUUUCCUUUUUAUUUAAUAAUAAUAAAAAAAUUGGUAUUUGA